UUUCUCUCCGUGAAGGGUGCCUGCGGAAGGAU
rnacentral:rRNA from 1 species